GAAAAAACGAAGAGGAAAAAAAAGGAGAGAGAGAAAAUCGACAGAAAUUGAGGGGAAAAGGAGGGGGGGCAUGUGGUCCACUCAAAAUUGUUCGUCCUCGGCAGUCUGGCAGGACAAAUAAAUCAUUCUUGGGGAUUUUUGAGCCCAUCUGCUCUAUCUAUCAAUCUGAGAGCCAAUGGGGUGGGGUGGGGUGGGGUGUGGGAGCGUCGGGUCAGGGCAGCAGAAACAGGUUCAGAGGAACAGCCACCCACCCCAGCAAGACCCACAUUUAUGUCAUACACAAUUGAUUGUAUGAGAGCGAUGAUCUGGUUACAGAUUUUGGGUCCUAUGUAGAGAGAGAAAGGGGAGAUGGAGAUUGUAUGUGGCACAUUUAAUGUCUUUUGGUCCAGAAUCCAUCAUUCAAUCUGACCAAAAUUGUAAGUAGGGUUCCCUUCUGCAACUGCUGCCCCUAGGUCGUGUGUGCACAGUUGAUGAAGUUUAUGUGGUCGUGCUCGGACCGUUUGUUUGUGCCCUUUUUAGAUUAAAAACCGAAACAGCUAAAAAUUCCGAUCAACAAGGGGAAAAUCUCACUUGUUGGGUUAGGAAAUAUGUUAGAAUAUCAACAAUGGGAUCCUUUGUAUUGAUGGUGUUUUUGUUGAAUAAGAGUGACAGAAUACUA